rnacentral:rRNA from 1 species
CAGCCGCCGCGGUAAUACGUAGGUGGCAAGCGUUGUCCGGAAUUAUUGGGCGUAAAGGGCUCGCAGGCGGUUUCUUAAGUCUGAUGUGAAAGCCCCCGGCUCGACCGGGGAGGGUCAUUGGAAACUGGGAAACUUGAGUGCAGAAGAGGAGAGUGGAAUUCCACGUGUAGCGGUGAAAUGCGUAGAGAUGUGGAGGAACACCAGUGGCGAAGGCGACUCUCUGGUCUGUAACUGACGCUGAGGAGCGAAAGCGUGGGGAGCGAACAGGAUUAGAGACCCCCGUAGUCCCUGUCUCUUAUAC